rnacentral:rRNA from 1 species
UACGUAGGGUGCAAGCGUUAAUCGGAAUUACUGGGCGUAAAGCGUGCGCAGGCGGUUAUGCAAGACAGAGGUGAAAUCCCCGGGCUCAACCUGGGAACUGCAUUUGUGACUGCAUAGCUAGAGUACGGUAGAGGGGGAUGGAAUUCCGCGUGUAGCAGUGAAAUGCGUAGAUAUGCGGAGGAACACCGAUGGCGAAGGCAAUCCCCUGGACCUGUACUGACGCUCAUGCACGAAAAGCGUGGGGAGCAAACAGG